UGGAAGUAAAAGUACGUAACAAGUUUCCGUAGGUGAACCUGCGGAAGAUCAUUAAAAAAUUCUGCCAUUGUUGGUGGAAACAAUAAUCAUCCUACCCUUUGUGAAUUUGUUUGUUUGAAAUAAUUUUUUAAAAGAAAAAUUAUUUAUAGUCUAUCCCUGGAUAGUUGGUUGGAGUGUAAAAGCGAAAACCGACUUUCAGGAAUAGUAUAUAAUUAAUUUUUCGUUUAAAGACCUUUUUUUAAUUAACAUUUGUAUUCAUUUGUCUAAAAUUAUUUUUAUAAUUAAAAACAACUUUUGACAAUGGAUCUCUUGGUUCUCGCACGAUGAAGAACGCAGUAAAAUGCGAUAAGUAGUGUGAAUUGCAGAAUACGUGAAUCAUCAAAUCUUCGAACGCAUAUUGCGCUUCUUUAGUUUACUAAAAAGUAUGUCUGUUUGAGUAUCAGUAAAAUAUUCUCAUAAAAACUUUUUUGUUUUUAUGGUUAUGAGUGUUUUACAACGAUAAACAAGUUGUUUCACUUUAAAUUCUUUGUCUUUUAAAAAUCAUUUAAAAACUGAUUCUUUUUUAAAAUUGGAUAAAUUUUCCCGUAAAAAGGAAUAACCUAAACAAUUUUAAUAAAAUGAAUUAGUUUGAUUUUUUAGAAAAAGACCAAAAGGAAAAAAAGUAAAAAUUAACUUGAUCUCAAAUCAGAUAAGAGUACCCGCUGAACUUAAGCAUAUCAAUAAGCGGAGGAAAAGAAACUAACUAGGAUUCCUCAGUAACGGCGAGUGAAGCGGGAAGAGCUCAAAUUUGAAAUCUUCAAGGUUCUACCUUGACGAAUGUAGUUUAAAGAAGUGUUUUCUGUUGGAGUUUUGGUAAAAGUUCUUUGGAAUAGGACAUCAUAGAGGGUGAGAAUCCCGUAUUUGACCAUUUCUUCCAGCUGUGUGAUACACUUUCAAAGAGUCGGAUUGUUUGGGAAUGCAGUCCAAAAUGGUGGUAAAUUUCAUCUAAAGCUAAAUAUUGGCGAGAGACCGAUAGCGAACAAGUACCGUGAGGGAAAGAUGAAAAGAACUUUGAAAGAGAGUUAACAGUACGUGAAAUUGUCAAAAGGGAAGCGUUUGACACCAGUGUUGUUUCUCGAAAAUCAAUUAAAAAUGACCGGAUUUUGUGUUGUAUUGACUUUAUCAGCUUUCUGCACUUUUUCUUGUCUUUUUUAAUGCACUUUUCGUUUAACAAGUCAACAUCAAUUUCUUCUGUUGUAAAAGAGUCAUUGGAAGGUGGCUUUCACUUCGGUGAAAGUUUUAUAGCCUUGACUUCUGCAAUCGGAGAGAUUGAGGUUUGCAGCGUAGAUCCUUCGGGGUUAGAUACAUUUGUGCUAAGUUAUAGUUUUUCAUAGACAACAUGUUGACUAUGAUUAAUCAUGUAGCUUACUCGCUUAUGCUAUUUUACCUACGCUUAGGAUGUUGAA
rnacentral:misc_RNA from 1 species